rnacentral:rRNA from 1 species
CGCGGCCUAUCAGCUUGUUGGUGGGGUAAUGGCCUACCAAGGCGGCGACGGGUAGCCGGCCUGAGAGGGUGUACGGCCACAUUGGGACUGAGAUACGGCCCAGACUCCUACGGGAGGCAGCAGUGGGGAAUAUUGCACAAUGGGCGCAAGCCUGAUGCAGCGACGCCGCGUGGGGGAUGAAGGCCUUCGGGUUGUAAACUCCUUUCGCUAGGGACGAAGCUUUUUGUGACGGUACCUAGAUAAGAAGCACCGGCUAACUACGUGCCAGCAGCCGCGGUAAUACGUAGGGUGCGAGCGUUGUCCGGAAUUACUGGGCGUAAAGGGCUCGUAGGUGGUUUGUCGCGUCGUCUGUGAAAUUCUGGGGCUUAACUCCGGGCGUGCAGGCGAUACGGGCAUAACUUGAGUGCUGUAGGGGUAACUGGAAUUCCUGGUGUAGCGGUGAAAUGCGCAGAUAUCAGGAGGAACACCGAUGGCGAAGGCGGGUUACUGGGCAGUUACUGACGCUGAGGAGCGAAAGCAUGGGUAGCGAACAGGAUUAGAUACCCUGGUAGUCCAUGCCGUAAACGGUGGGCGCUAGGUGUGAGGGUCUUUCUACGACUUUCGUACCGUAGCUAACGCAUUAAGCGCCCCGCCUGGGGAGUACGG